CAGUUAUGUAGAAGCAGUAAUUGAGAUUCAGAUUCCUUCUUAUAGUGAAAGGGGAAGCGGUGCUAGAGCUAAUGAUCACUCUCAGGAUGGAAGGUAACCCUUCUUAUAGAGAAAGGAUUUGCCAAACUUCUGUAGCAGUUGCUCCCGGGGUUUCUCCUCAUGCUAGCGAUAAUAAUCAUAACCAAGUAGCCCUUGAUCUUAAUAAUUCAGCUUCUCGAAACCAUCAAGUGGAGGUCUUUCAUGAAUUUGAUCUAUGUGGUUCAGUUUCAGGUUUCAAAAGACAUCAACAGGUGGAAUGUAUAGGAAAGAUUAAUGAGGAUAUAACUACAAAUAUGAUUAUAAUCAUUAUGGAAACAGGGAUUAUGAUGAUCAGAUUGGUCAUGGAAGAGACCUUGAGUACGGAUAUAGAGAUGAUGGUCAGUGGGAAUUCAAACAUUUGUGUUACUUUCAUUGUGUUUUGCUUGACAUGAUCAUCUUCUCUGUUAGAGGAAGUGGUGCUGGAGCUGAUGAUCACUAUCGGGAUGAAGGUUUGACCAACUUCUGUAACAGUUGCUCUUGGGGGUUCUCCUCCUGCUAGUAAUAAUAAUCCUUACCAAGUAGCCCUUGAUCUUAAUAAUCCAGCUUCUCGAAAUCAUCAAGUGAAGGUCUUUGAUGAAUUUGAUCCAUUUGGUUCAGUUUCAGAAGAUGUGUGAGAUCCUCCACAUUCAAGGUGACCAGUGCGGCAACCAAAUCGGAGCCAAGAUUUGGGAGGUUGUUUGUGCCGAGCACGACAUAUAUCCAACCGAUCGUUACCAAGGAGACCAAGAUCUUCAACUCGAGAGAAUCAAUAUCUACUACAACGAUGAUGGGCUCUUCCAGCUCCAGUGAGGCCGCGAUGAAAACA